GUAAAAGAGUCCACUCAACGAGUAUCGAGUAAAGAGUUCAUGUACUUCAUGAAAAUUAAAGGAAAAAAACUUACAGCUCUUGGUCAUGGAUGAUUUUGUUUGCGACAAAUUAACUGAAUGGGGUCUCAGUGAGUUGAUACCGAUAUUCAAAGAAGAAAAAAUUGACAAGGAAAGUUUUUACGAACUUGAUGAUGGAGAAAUCAAAGAAGUGAUCAAAAAAUCGGGAAUAAGGAUGAAAUUCAAGAAGAAAUUCAAGUUAUUAAAGGGGGAACAAAACAUAACAAAUCAGGAACCGGCUGAUUUUUCUGCUCAAGAUGGUCCAUCCACCAGUGAUGCAAGCGAUAAAGGUGAGA